CUCUUACACUCCUACGGGGAGCAGCAGUAGGGAAUCUUCACAAUGGGCGCAAGCCUGAUGGAGCAACACCGCGUGAGUGAAGAAGGGUUUCGGCUCGUAAAGCUCUGUUGUUUAAAGAAGAACACGUAUGAGAGUAACUGUUCAUACGUUGACGGUAUUUAACCAGAAAGUCACGGCUAACUACGUGCCAGCAGCCGCGGUAAUACGUAGGUGGCAAGCGUUAUCCGGAUUUAUUGGGCGUAAAGAGAGUGCAGGCGGUUUUCUAAGUCUGAUGUGAAAGCCUUCGGCUUAACCGGAGAAGUGCAUCGGAAACUGGAUAACUUGAGUGCAGAAGAGGGUAGUGGAACUCCAUGUGUAGCGGUGGAAUGCGUAGAUAUAUGGAAGAACACCAGUGGCGAAGGCGGCUACCUGGUCUGCAACUGACGCUGAGACUCGAAAGCAUGGGUAGCGAACAGGAUUAGAUACCCUGGUAG
rnacentral:rRNA from 1 species